GCGAGAAAACUUUGCAAUGUGCGAAAGCACGACAAGGUUAAUCCGAGUGGUUCCUGCUAAAGGAAUCUUUUGUUAGUCGUAGAACCACUAUCGAAUAAGGGGUGGGCAAGUUCUGGUGUCAGCCGCCGCGGUAAAACCAGCACCUCAAGUGGUCAGGAGGAUUAUUGGGCCUAAAGCAUCCGUAGCCUGUUUUGUAAGUCUUCGGUCAAAUCCACAUGCUUAACAUGUGGGCUGCCGGAGAUACUGCAAAACUAGGGAGUGGGAGAGGUAGACGGUACUUGAUAGGAAGGGGUAAAAUCCUUUGAUCUAUUGAUGACCACCUGUGGCGAAGGCGGUCUACCAGAACACGUUCGACGGUGAGGGAUGAAAGCUGGGGGAGCAAACCGG
rnacentral:rRNA from 1 species